UGGGCAACCUGCCCCUCUCUCUGGGAUAACCCCGGGAAACCGGGGCUAAUACCGGAUACUCCGGCUGGAUCGCAUGGUCCGGCCGGGAAAGGUCCGCCGGAGAGGGAUGGCCCGCGGCCUAUCAGCUUGUUGGUGGGGUCAUGGCUCACCAAGGCGACGACGGGUAGCUGGUCUGAGAGGACGACCAGCCACACUGGAACUGAGAUACGGUCCAGACUCCGUACGGGAGGCA
rnacentral:rRNA from 1 species